rnacentral:tmRNA from 2 species
CAGCUUUCAAAGCGCCGCCGCUGGACCUAUAUUGAGGGUGCCGGCUUGCCGGCUAUGGCGAUAAACGUGCUGUGAAAUAGGCAGAGCGGACCCGGGGGCGGUACCCGGCGCCUCCACCAUUUCAGCCGACCCUGAUUUGAUACAAAUUACCUGUUUUGAUAAAACUUACAGGCAGGUUACGGCGGCUGAGAGACUGGGGGCGAAAUAGGAUCGACGCAUGUAAUAAAGACAGUAUUUUUGCUCGGUAUGGUACCCGCCGUUAUCGGGCCAUGUAGUAGUUGCAAAUGACAACACUGCUCCGGUAGCUGCAGCAGCCUAACGGCAGCGAAAGCAACCGAUUUAAAGUCCAGUCCGCUUGAGCUCGGGUUGGCGGGGUUUGGAACGCACCUGGCAACAGAAGCGUUCCUCU